rnacentral:rRNA from 1 species
GAUGAACGCUGGCGGCGUGCCUAAUACAUGCAAGUCGAGCGAACAGACGAGAGUGCUUGCCCUCUCUGACGUUAGCGGCGGACGGGUGAGUAACACGUGGGUAACCUACCUAUAAGACUGGGAUAACUUCGGGAAACCGGAGCUAAUACCGGAUAAUAUUUAGCUUCGCAUGAAGCAAUAGUGAAAGACGGUUCUGCUGUCACUUAUAGAUGGACCCGCGGUGUAUUAGCUAGUUGGUGAGGUAACGGCUCACCAAGGCAACGAUACAUAGCCGACCUGAGAGGGUGAUCGGCCACACUGGGACUGAGACACGGCCCAGACUCCUACGGGAGGCAGCAGUAGGGAAUCUUCCGCAAUGGACGAAAGUCUGACGGAGCAAUGCCGCGUGAGUGAAGAAGGUUUUCGGAUCGUAAAACUCUGUUGUAAGGGAAGAACAAGUACGUUAGUAACUGAACGUACCUUGACGGUACCUUACCAGAAAGCCACGGCUAACUACGCG